CAGCCGCAUGGAGAAGACGAUUGCUUCCAGAAAUUUUGCUCAUGAUCCUGAGAAGUUUGCUGCUGUACUUAUCCCUAUGUGUCAUGUAGAUGGAGAAUUGUCACUUUUGUUAACUGUGAGGUGCAGAACCUUAAACAAUCAUGGGGGAGAAGUAAGUUUUCCAGGGGGCAUGGCUGAUGUAGGUGAUCCUGACCUCAUUACUACUGCUCUAAGGGAAUCUGAGGAAGAAAUUGGUAUCAACCGAUCCACUGUUGAUAUUUGGGGAAUGAUGCCCCCUCUUCCCAGCAAGUUAGGAGAGACUUCCAUAAGAGGAGUUCUAGCUUAUGUAGGACAUAUUGACCCAUCUUCCUUAAAAUUGUCUGAGGAUGAAGUUGAGUCAGUAUUUGCAGUCUCUGUCAAAAGCCUUUGUAAUUCUCGGAAUGCAAAACAAACUCAGUUCCGUUCUAAAAGAAUUCCAAAAGGCUAUACCUUACCAGUAUAUAUUGGGUCUGAACCACGCAUUUGGGGUUUGACAGCUAUUUUAAUACAUAUGACCCUUAUUUCACUCCUUCCAGGACUUUAUAAGCAUAAACUUGUACAUUUACCACCACUGACAAAGUAAGUACAUUCUCAGUAAGAUGAAAACUCAGUACUUUAUACACAAAUGUCAAUCUCUUAUUUACUUGCUUGCACUGUUUUUAAAUUACAGUAACAUAUCUCUGGUUAGGGGAUCAGCCAUCCAAGGCAUCAUCAUUCAACCAUUGUAAGAUUGUGCGUGCUAAGGAAAGAAUAGACUUAGAAAUGGAAAAUGUUGCUGAAGAAGUUAAGAAAAAGGAAGAUAGACAAGAAACUAACUUGUGAGGUUUGCCCAAACGUUAGACCUAUUACUGGGUAUUGUAUUCCAUUUAGUGAUAAAAAUGCAAUGUCAUAGCACAAAUGGCAUUAUUUACUUUUACUUUUGUUAACAUUCUUGAUUCCCCACAUCAUUCAUACACAGAGAAAAAAACUAUGGCUUGUGUUGUCAAAAAUAUGUAAAUCCAGUUUAGAAUUUUGUUGUAAUUUAACAUUUUAUUUGUUGUUUCGACGAUACAUACAGUAUGAUGUUUUCAAUUGUGAUGACUUGUAAAUAAAAUUAAUUUUGUA
rnacentral:misc_RNA from 1 species